AGAGUUUGAUCCUGGCUCAGGACGAACGCUGGCGGCGUGCCUAAUACAUGCAAGUAGAACGCUGAAGACUUAGCUUGCUAGAGUUGGAAGAGUUGCGAACGGGUGAGUAACGCGUAGGUAACCUGCCUACUAGCGGGGGAUAACUAUUGGAAACGAUAGCUAAUACCGCAUAACAGUGUUUAACACAUGUUAGAUGCUUGAAAGAUGCAAUUGCAUCACUAGUAGAUGGACCUGCGUUGUAUUAGCUAGUUGGUGGGGUAACGGCCUACCAAGGCGACGAUACAUAGCCGACCUGAGAGGGUGAUCGGCCACAUUGGGACUGAGACACGGCCCAGACUCUACGGGAGGCAGCAGUAGGGAAUCUUCGGCAAUGGGGGCAACCCUGACCGAGCAACGCCGCGUGAGUGAAGAAGGUUUUCGGAUCGUAAAGCUCUGUUGUAAGAGAAGAACGUGUGUGAGAGUGGAAAGUUCACACAGUGACGGUAACUUACCAGAAAGGGACGGCUAAU
rnacentral:rRNA from 1 species